GAUGAACGCUGGCGGCGUGCUUAACACAUGCAAGUCGAACGGAAAGGCCCAAGCUUGCUUGGGUACUCGAGUGGCGAACGGGUGAGUAACACGUGGGUGAUCUGCCCUGCACUUCGGGAUAAGCCUGGGAAACUGGGUCUAAUACCGGAUAGGACCACAUUUUGGAUGGUGUGGUGGAAAGUUUUUCGGUGUGGGAUGAGCUCGCGGCCUAUCAGCUUGUUGGUGGGGUAAUGGCCUACCAAGGCGUCGACGGGUAGCCGGCCUGAGAGGGUGUACGGCCACAUUGGGACUGAGAGACGGCCCAGACUCCUACGGGAGGCAGCAGUGGGGAAUAUUGCACAAUGGGGGCAAGCCUGAGGCAGCGACGCCGCGUGGGGGAGGACGGCCUUCGGGUUGUAAACUCCUUUCGCUAGGGACGAAGCGUUUUUGUGACGGUACCUGGAGAAGAAGCACCGGCUAACUACGUG
rnacentral:rRNA from 1 species